rnacentral:misc_RNA from 1 species
AUAACCCUGUCCUGUAUUAUACAGAGUUGAAGCCUUCAUCGAGAGCAUAGAAACAAGAUGAGGCCUACCCUUGUCUGCUUGACUUUUUUGUGCGGGUGUCUGCUCGUACGAGCAAGAUCAUCGACACCAAAGAAUGGAGAGGAAAAAGAUGCAUUGAAUCGUCUUGAGCGUGUCCUCAAAAAUCUAGAAAAGCAAGGCGUUGGGGAUAACAAAAAGUUUGAACGACGAGAACACCCGCUUCGUGACGGUGACAAUGAAAAUGGUGAGCGUCGACGACCCCCACCAUGCGUUGCUGAUGAUGAAGAUUGCGAACGACGACAACUCCCACGUGAUGAACGUCAAAGCGAUCGAGAUGAACCUAUACGCAGGCCCCUUCCUCGAGCUCUUGGCCAACGUGAAAUUGAACAAAGAAACAAUCGACAAAAACCUCCACAACGUGAUGAACGUCAAAGCGCUAAAUACAUGUAUGACCCUAGACGCAGGCCUCCUUUUCGUGGCCAACGUAAAAGUGAAGUAAAUAGCGAACGACGACAACUCCUACAACGUGAGGAUCUCCAAAACAAUCCAGGUGGACCUGAACGCAGGCCUCCUUCUCGUGGCGAACAUGAAAUUGAAGAAAGUGGCAAUCGACGAAGACCUCCACAACGUGAUGAACGUCAAACGGAUCGAGAUGAACUUAGCGUUGGGGAUAACAAAGAGUUUGAACGACGAGAACACCCGCUUCGUGACGGUGACAAUGAAAAUGGUGAUCGUCGACGACCCCCACCAUGCGUUGCUGAUGAUGAAGAUUGCGAACGACGACAACCCCCACGUGAUGAACGUCAAAGCGAUCGAGAUGAACCUAGACGCAGGCCUUCUCCUCGAGCUCUUGGCCAACGUGAUAUUAAACAAAGUAGCAAUCGACAAAAACCUCCACAACGUGAUGAACGUCAAAGCGCUAAAUACAUGUAUGACCCUAGACGCAGACCUCCUUUUCAUGGCCAACGUAAAAGUGAAGUAAAUAGCGAACGACGACAACUCCUACAACAUGAGGUACGCCAAAACAAUCCAGGUGGACCUAAACGCAGGCCUCCUUCUCGUGGCGAACAUGAAAUUGAAGAAAGUGGCAAUCGACGAAGACCUCCACAACGUGAUGAACGUCAAAGCGAUCGAGAUGAACCUAGACGCAGGCCUCCUUCUCAAGGCGAACGUCAAAAUAGGGAGUGACGAUCGGCAAAGAAACCCCCUCAACUUCUUCAAUUUCAUUGAAAAUACUACGUAUUUUUAACUUACAGUAACAAAGCAUAGGAUUCUAGCAGCUUUUUAAAGUAUUUUAGGUCUUAUACUUUUGAUAUUUACCAAAUUCAAUUUUCAUAAUUUUCGGGGUAUUGUUAAACGUUUGCCUUUUUGUACACACUGACAGAGGAAAGGCGGGUCGAACCAUAUAAAUAUCUAUCUGUUUACCUUAUACCACUCGCUGAUAAAGCAAAAUAUCUAUGUCGUAUUAUACUGAUUAUAUCCUUACUUACACUCAUUUUAAUCUGUAACUGUAUUGAAUAAAUAUUUUUUUCGGC